rnacentral:rRNA from 1 species
CCUACGGGAGGCAGCAGUAGGGAAUCUUCCACAAUGGACGAAAGCCUGAUGGAGCAACGCCGCGUGAGUGAAGAAGGGUUUCGGCUUGUAAAGCCCUUUUGGUGGGGAAGAAAGCUAUAGGUAUUAUCUGCUCUUUGUUUGACGUUACUUACUUAGUCAGCACCGGCUAACUACGUGCCAGCAGCCGCGGUAAUACGUAGGUUGCAAGCGUUGUCCGGAUUUAUUGGGCGUAAAGCGAGCGCAGGCGGUCUAGUAAGUCGGAUGUGAAAGCCCUCGACUCAACCGGGGAAUUGCAUUAGAAACUGGUAGGCUAGAGUGGAGGAGAGGAGGGUGGAACUCCAGGUGUAGCGGUGAAAUGCGUAGAGAUAUGGAGGAACACCAGUGGCGAAGGCGGCUCCCUGGACAGAAACUGACGCUGAGGCGCGAAAGCAUGGGGAGCGAACAGGAUUAGAUACCCGAGUAGUC